rnacentral:rRNA from 1 species
AACGAACGCUGGCGGCAGGCUUAACACAUGCAAGUCGAGCGCCCCGCAAGGGGAGCGGCAGACGGGUGAGUAACACGUGGGGAUCUGCCCAAUGGUACGGAAUAGCUCCGGGAAACUGGAAAUAAUACCGUAUGUGCCCGCAAGGGGAAAGAUUUAUCGCCAUUGGAUGAACCCGCGUCGGAUUAGCUAGUUGGUGAGGUAAAGGCUCACCAAGGCGACGAUCCGUAGCUGGUCUGAGAGGAUGAUCAGCCACACUGGGACUGAGACACGGCCCAGACUCCUACGGGAGGCAGCAGUGGGGAAUAUUGGACAAUGGGCGCAAGCCUGAUCCAGCCAUGCCGCGUGAGUGAUGAAGGCCUUAGGGUUGUAAAGCUCUUUCGCCGACGAAGAUAAUGACGGUAGUCGGAGAAGAAGCCCCGGCUAACUUCGUGCCAGCCGCCGUAGUAAUAC